rnacentral:rRNA from 1 species
UACGUAGGGGGCAAGCGUUGUCCGGAAUCAUUGGGCGUAAAGAGCGUGUAGGCGGCCUGGUAAGUCCGCUGUGAAAGUCCAGGGCUCAACCCUGGAAUGCCGGUGGAAACUGUCAGGCUCGAGUCCGGAAGAGGCGAGUGGAAUUCCGUGGUGUAGCGGUGAAAUGCGCAGAGUAUCAGGAGGAACACCAAUGGCGAAGGCAGCUCGCUGGGACGGUACUGGACGCUGAGACGCGAAAGCGUGGGGAGCAAACAGG